rnacentral:rRNA from 1 species
UACGAAGGGGGCUAGCGUUAUUCGGAAUUACUGGGCGUAAAGCGCACGUAGGCGGCUUUGUAAGUUAGAGGUGAAAGCCUGGAGCUCAACUCCAGAAUUGCCUUUAAGACUGCAUCGCUUGAAUCCAGGAGAGGUGAGUGGAAUUCCGAGUGUAGAGGUGAAAUUCGUAGAUAUUCGGAGGAACACCAGUGGCGAAGGCGGCUCACUGGACUGGUAUUGACGCUGAGGUGCGAAAGCGUGGGGAGCAAACAGG